GUGUGGGGGUACGGCCUACCNGNCGACGACGGGUAGCUGGUCUGAGAGGACGAUCAGCCACACUGGGACUGAGACACGGCCCAACUCCUACGGGAGGCAGCAGUAGGGAAUCUUGCGCAAUGGGGGACACCCUGACGCAGCGACGCCGCGUGCGGGAUGAAGGCCUUCGGGUCGUAAACCGCUUUCAGCAGGGACGAAAUUGACGGUACCUGCAGAAGAAGGCCCGGCCAACUACGUGCCAGCAGCCGCGGUGAUACGUAGGGGUCUAGCGUUGUCCGGAAUUAUUGGGCGUAAAGAGCUCGUAGGCGGUUCGGCAAGUCGGAUGUGAAAUCUCCACGCUUAACGUGGAGGGGCCAUUCGAAACUGCCGGACUCGAGUCCGGUAGGGGAGUUCGGAAUUCCCGGUGUAGCGGUGAAAUGCGCAGAUAUCGGGAGGAACACCAGUGGCGAAGGCGGAACUCUGGGCCGGAACUGACGCUGAGGAGCGAAAGCGUGGGGAGCGAACAGGAUUAGAUACCCUGGUAGUCCACGCCGUAAACGUUGGGCACUAGGUGUGGGGCUCUAUCGACGGGUUCCGUGCCGUANCUAACGCAUUAAGUGCCCCGCCUGGGGAGUACGGCCGCAAGGCUAAAACUCAAAGGAAUUGACGGNGGCCUGCACAANCGGCGGANCGUGUGGCUCANUUCNAUGCANCNCNAANAACCUUACCUGNNCUU
rnacentral:rRNA from 1 species